rnacentral:rRNA from 1 species
UACGUAGGGUGCAAGCGUUAAUCGGAAUUACUGGCGUAAAGCGCACGUGGGCGGAUAUUUAAGUCAGGGGUGAAAUCCCAGAGCUCAACUCUGGAACUGCCUUUGAUACUGGGUAUCUCGAGUAUGGAAGAGGUGAGUGGAAUUCCGAGUGAUAGAGGUAGAAAUUCGUAGAUAUUCGGAGGAACACCAGUGGCGAAGGCGGCGACCUGGGCCGAAUAUUGACGCUGAGGUGACGAAAGCGUGGGGAGCAAACAGG